rnacentral:rRNA from 1 species
UACCAGCUCUCCGAGUGGUGUGGAUGUUUAUUGGGCCUAAAGCAUCCGUAGCUGGCUGGACAAGUCCCCUGUUAAAUCCACCGAUUUAAUCGUUGGAGUGCGGGGGAUACUGUUCGGCUAGGGGACGGGAGAGGCAGACGGUAUUUUCGGGGUAGGGGUGAAAUCCUAUAAACCCGGGAAGACCACCAGUGGCGAAGGCUGUCUGCUAGAACGCGCCCGACGGUGAGGGAUGAAAGCUGGGGGAGCGAACCGGAUUAGAUACCCGGGUAGUCCCAGCUGUAAACGAUGCAGGCUAGGUGUUUGGACGGCCACGUGCCGUUCUAGUGCCGCAGGGAAGCCGUUAAGCCUGCCGCCUGGGGAGUACGGCCGCAAGGCUGAAACUUAAGGAAUUGGCGGGGAGCACCACAAGGGGUGAAGCUUGCGGUUU